CAGUCGCCACGGUAAUACGGAGGGGGCUAGCGUUGUUCGGAAUUACUGGGCGUAAAGCGCACGUAGGCUGCUUGGUAAGUUAGAGGUGAAAGCCUGGAGCUCAACUCCAGAAUUGCCUUUAAGACUGCCGAGCUAGAACGUCGGAGAGGUGAGUGGAAUUCCGAGUGUAGAGGUGAAAUUCGUAGAUAUUCGGAAGAACACCAGUGGCGAAGGCGGCUCACUGGACGACUGUUGACGCUGAGGUGCGAAAGCGUGGGGAGCAAACAGGAUUAGAUACCCCCGUAGUCCCUGUCUCUUAUAC
rnacentral:rRNA from 1 species